AGUGAACGCUGGCGGUAGGCCUAACACAUGCAAGUCGAACGGCAGCACAGUAAGAGCUUGCUCUUACGGGUGGCGAGUGGCGGACGGGUGAGGAAUACAUCGGAAUCUACUUUUUCGUGGGGGAUAACGUAGGGAAACUUACGCUAAUACCGCAUACGACCUACGGGUGAAAGCUGGGGAUCUUCGGACCUUGCGCGAUUGAAUGAGCCGAUGUCGGAUUAGCUAGUUGGCGGGGUAAAGGCCCACCAAGGCGACGAUCCGUAGCUGGUCUGAGAGGAUGAUCAGCCACACUGGAACUGAGACACGGUCCAGACUCCUACGGGGGGCAGCAGUGGGGAAUAUUGGACAAUGGGCGCAAGCCUGAUCCAGCCAUACCGCGUGGGUGAAGAAGGCCUUCGGGUUGUAAAGCCCUUUUGUUGGGAAAGAAAAGCAGCAGGUUAAUACCCCGCUGUUCUGACGGUACCCAAAGAAUAAGCACCGGCUAACUUCGUG
rnacentral:rRNA from 1 species